CUCCGUCGUAGUGGAAGGGCUCCUCCUCCCCGUCGGCCACUUCCACUAUCAAAGACCCAUACAGCCCUGCCGCCCUCUGCAUCCCGUAAUGCCCGUGAUAGAAAUAUGUUCCUGCCUAUUUGCAAGGCAAAUAAAUAGAGUAAAUACAGAUGCGGCUGCAUGAUACGUGAGAGACUAAUCUGAGGAAUGAUAAGGAGAUGAGUUACCUUAUCGACCUGAAAUCUGUAAACAUAAGUCUCUUCAGGAUUGAUGGCGCACUGUGAGAUGGAAGCUGUUCCAUCAGCCCAUGGUGUUCCAUACUGGUUGCAGCCAGUGACAUGCACAUUUGUAAGCAUAAUAGCAAGGACAUGAACGCAUGAAAUGAAGUGGAUGACAACUCCCUCGGUGUGAAGGGCGUUCUUCAGCUCGACAUGGAUGGUGUCGCCGGCCUUGGCGCGGAUGGUCGGUCCGGGGAACUGGCCGUUGAUCCCAAGUAGAAUCUUCUCCUCGCAGUCCGGCGACGCAUACAUGUAACCCACGUCCCACUUGAAAUGCCUGGUCUUUGAAGCCAAGCCAGCCUGCAGCAGGAGUGAGAUGAUACAAGAGACGUACAGAAGCGAGCCCAUAGUCAAAUGGGAGUAUUAUCCGGUUGAACUAGCGAGUGGUAGCCGAUGGAGUGUUUGGAAACAGGUGGAGAUGAAGGUUGAAGGGGAAGACUAAGAGGGAGGAGAAUUAGAAAGACUGUGGAUGAAGCAGCAUGUUUCUUGAGAUGGUUGGAGCAACUAUGCUGCAGUGGGUGCUUUUUUUAUAGUGGGAGAUGGGUUUAAAUUAGAGCAAGGAAUUAUCAGAAUUCUUAGUUGAUUGUCACUUUUAUUAUAUAGGGUAUGAUUUGAAUCAUAGUUUCUCAUGUUAAAAAGGAACAACUUUAUGAGGUUCAUCCUCAACAACUAUUUUAAAGAUAACACUCAACAAGUACUAUUUCAGUGUUUUCUUUUAACUGGUAACUUGAUUUCUAUUGCUAUUGUCAUCAUUAUUAUUAUUCUUAUUUCACUAACAACACUUGGAAUUAUUAUUCUGCUUCCCAUAACCUUUAAAUUCCUUGCAGGGUAUAACAGGUGGUGUCGAUGAUGGUCUUUGGGAUAGUAGAGCAUCUUUCUCCCGUAUUGUGAGGCACAUGGUAGAGAAUCAUGGCAAAAGAGAGUUGGGUUGAUUUAUAUAAAGAAGACGAAAUAGUAAUCAACAUCAGCUACUUGCAUCACUUUGACGAGGUGACCAGAAUCUUUUGAACGUUGAUGCAACUUGCUUCGGCUACUUGCAUCAGUCACUUGUGAACAAAAAGAACCAAGAAUCCAAGGAGGAACAAGAAGACAUUCUGAAGAAUGAAGAAUGGUACAAUAUGCCUCGGCUACUUGCAUCGCCUUUGACGGGGCGAAAUGAAUCUUAUGAAGAAUGGUACAGCAUGCUUCGGCUACUUGCAUCACUUUGGAAGAACCUAAAGAAUGGGUCCAUCAGAUCACCUCAAGCAUUUUGUGGCACAAGUUCUCCAGAAUAUGCAUCUAUAGCAUGUAUUUAGAGCUGUCAGAUUUCAAAAACCCUUGUUAUUUGGGCAGCAUGUCAGGAACAUUGUCACCAUGAAGCUCCGAAGCACAUCCUUUUUUAGUAUCUGUAAUUAAUGGCACUGUAUUUACUGAAUGCUGUAUGUUUA